rnacentral:lncRNA from 1 species
UCAAGAACCAAUCCUUCCAUCCUACAGUGGGUCUGGGCCAGGAGCGAAAAGUGUCCUUCCACAGAUCUAAGGAAAAGUUUUCGGCUCUAAAAGGGAUCAUGUUUGUUUCUGCGUUAAUCAAAUCUGUGGGAUCUGGAUUCCCUAAUGGACCAAGGCAUUGGAGGUGCGGUUGAUCGGUAGGGAUGAUUAGUUUGUUGGACAGAUCCUAUUGGUUUUAGGGAUGAAAAGAAGGAUAAGAGCAAAAAGAAAGAAAAAGAAAAAGAUGUUCAAUGAAAUAAAUUACAGACGAACAGGAAUGUGGGAAAAAGCACAAGAGAUGGAAUGAAGAACUAACCUCAGGGACGGUGAAGUUGAUGGCCAUCUCUUCACGAAGAGGAUGAUCGAGGGCUUCGGAGUUGGAGGAGAAAAGGCUUUGUUGGAGAUCUCGGAGCUCUCGAACAGCGCCGCCGCCGGGAAAGUGGAGCUGGAGCUGUAGAAUGAUGUGAUGGGGAAGGAGUACCCGAGAACGAACUAUUUAUAGGACAAAACGGGCAAGGGCAAAUCUGACUUAUCUCUUCGCCGUAUCCGUGAAAUCCGAGGGUGCUCAGGUGGAUAUGGUAACUGUUCGCACGGUAAUCAAGGGAUUGUACAGGUGAUUUGACAGGAAGCGGUCAUU